UUGAAAAUGCUGUCUUCCCCUGCCC
rnacentral:misc_RNA from 1 species